GUCUGCGGUUGACGCUGUACUCGGUGCACGCGGUGUCGGCCAUCCUGUCGACGGUCGGCCAGCGCGCUGCAUACCAUUUCGAUAAACCGCUGCUGCAUCUGCCAUGGCUGCUGUUCACUGCGCAGGGACUGCUCCUGCGGCAGGGACCGGACGUCAUCUGCCUGGCCAGAAACACCCUCGACUGGGGGGCUGGUCUCGCCUUUCUUCUCGCUUGCGUUACUGUCUACUGCCAGCAAGUAGCCCUCUGGCUGCAGGUGAGCCGCUCGUUCGUAGCCAAGCGGCCGGAGUGGGUCCUGUGCAGGCUUCUGCUGAACGGGAGGCGUGCCGGCUGAUCUCGAUCUACUGCUAACA